GAUGAACGCUCGCUACAGGCUUAACACAUGCAAGUCGAGGGGAAACGGCAUUAAGUGCUUGCACUUUUUGGACCUCGACCGGCGCACGGGUGAGUAACGCGUAUCCAACCUUCCCAUGACUAAGGGAUAACCUGCCGAAAGGCAGACUAAUACCUUAUGGUCUUCACUGACGGCAUCAGAUGUGAAGUAAAGAUUUAUCGGUUAUGGAUGGGGAUGCGUCUGAUUAGCUUGUUGGCGGGGUAACGGCCCACCAAGGCAACGAUCAGUAGGGGUUCUGAGAGGAAGGUCCCCCACAUUGGAACUGAGACACGGUCCAAACUCCUACGGGAGGCAGCAGUGAGGAAUAUUGGUCAAUGGGCGAGAGCCUGAACCAGCCAAGUAGCGUGCAGGAUGACGGCCCUAUGGGUUGUAAACUGCUUUUGUAUGGGGUUAAAGUCAAUCACGUGUGAUUGUUUGCAGGUACCAUACGAAUAAGGACCGGCUAAUUCCGUG
rnacentral:rRNA from 1 species